rnacentral:rRNA from 1 species
CCUACGGGAGGCAGCAGUGAGGAAUAUUGGUCAAUGGACGAGAGUCUGAACCAGCCAAGUAGCGUGAAGGAUGACUGCCCUAUGGGUUGUAAACUUCUUUUAUAUGGGACUAAAAUGUUCAACGUGUGGGCUUUUGUAUGUACCAUAUGAAUAAGGAUCGGCUAACCCCGUGCCAGCAGCCGCGGUAAUACGGAGGUUCCGAGCGUUAUCCGGAUUUAUUGGGUUUAAAGGGAGCGUAGGUGGAUUGUUAAGUCAGUUGUGAAAGUUUGCGGCUCAAGCGUAAAAUUGCAGUUGAUACUGGCAGUCUUGAGUACGGUAGAGGUGGGCGGAAUUCGUGGUGUAGCGGUGAAAUGCUUAGAUAUCACGAAGAACUCCGAUUGCGAAGGCAGCUCACUGGACUGCAACUGACACUGAGGCUCGAAAGUGUGGGUAUCAAACAGGAUUAGAUACCCUUGUAGUC